CCUACGGGAGGCAGCAGUGGGGAAUAUUGCGCAAUGGGCGGAAGCCUGACGCAGCGACGCCGCGUGGGGGAUGACGGCCUUCGGGUUGUAAACCUCUUUCAGCAGGGACGAAGCGGAAGUGACGGUACCUGCAGAAGAAGCACCGGCCAACUACGUGCCAGCAGCCGCGGUAAUACGUAGGGUGCAAGCGUUGUCCGGAAUUAUUGGGCGUAAAGAGCUCGUAGGCGGUUUGUUGCGUCGGCUGUGAAAUCCCGAGGCUCAACCUCGGGUCUGCAGUCGAUACGAGCAAACUGGAGUGUUGCAGGGGAGAAUGGAAUUCCUGGUGUAGCGGUGAAAUGCGCAGAUAUCAGGAGGAACACCAGUGGCGAAGGCGGUUCUCUGGGCAUUACCUGACGCUGAGGAGCGAAAGUGUGGGGAGCGAACAGGAUUAGAUACCCUGGUAGUCCACACCGUAAACGUUGGGCGCUAGGUGUGGGACUCAUUCCACGAGUUACGUGCCGCAGCUAACGCAUUAAGCGCCCCGCCUGGGGAGUACGGCCGCAAGGCUAAAAACUCAAAGGAAUUGACGGGGGCCCGCACAAGCGGCGGAGCAUGCGGAUUAAUUCGAUGCAACGCGAAGAACCUUACCUGGGUUUUGACAUCGCCGGAAAACUCGUAGAGAUACGGGGUCCUUUCGGGGCCCGGUGACAGGUGGUGCAGGCUGUCGUCAGCUCGUGU
rnacentral:rRNA from 1 species